rnacentral:lncRNA from 1 species
GAGAUCUUGUGGUCCUAAAGAAUGUGAAUGCCCCUUAGGAUGCCCAACUGUAUUUCUUUCCCUUGUAUGUCAUGAGAUGUCAACAGUGGGUCCUUAUGAGUCAGGAAGUAAUAAUAGAAGAAGAUUCCUGAACCCAAGGUUCUGAGUGGAAUUGAAUGUGGAUAAAAUAAGGUGGUUUUGCAUCAGAGCAUCCCCAAAGGGGCACAUCCUCGAUGAGAUUUCUCCUGAACCUACUUGUGGAGCAUUGCAUUGGAUUCUGAGGCAUGACAUCUCCCUCUGGACAGCUUUCUCCAGAUGGCAGAUUGCCAUCAAG